AAACUAUUAAACAGGGCAGUGGGAAUUGUAGACCAGUAAUUCCUUGUUUGAGAAGGGGUAGCUAAAGUAGUAUUGUGUGUCAGUAUGUGCUAGGUUGAAAGCAACAUACUUUCUGCUAGGAAAGAUCUUGUUUUCCAGGUAAUCCGUCCAAACCUUUUAACCUGCUGGCAAAUGUCAUGAUGCAAAGAAUUGGGGGAUUUUUAUUUGGAUAAAUAUAGAUAAAUAUCAUGGAUGCCUUCUUUUGCUACCGCUGAUGUUGAUCACCAGAGCAGCUCAGGGUAGAAAGAAGCUUAGUCUGAGCUGGAGGUGGAAGGUUUCCUGGCUUUGGAGGCAGGGGUGCUUCUUGAGUAAAUCUGCAGACUUUGAGCAAGUGAGUUUCCUCUUGGAAACACUGAUUUGUCAGAACCAGAGUUACAGGGUGGAAAAGGGUUGAUUUUCUCUGGACUUAUCUGGUGAGCACAUCUAGGUCAAAGUCUGGUUGGCCAAAGAGGAGACACAAGCGCAUAAUACUUGGCAGUACGACAUCUAGAUUCCUCCUGUGAUGUGGCAGCCCCAGUUCAAAUCCUGACCCUGAGCUCAGGCUGCCACAUCCCAUAGUAUGCCUCAGCAACCAACGAGUCCGGAUGUAUUCAGCUUUUUGUUUGUUUGUUUGUUUGUUUGUUUAACCAAACCAAACCAAGCAAAAAACUUAAAAGUUGUUGGUUUUGGUAGUGGGCAGAAAGGGAAGCUACGGGAAGAAAGGGCUAUCCAGUUCUUUCCAGGUCUCACCUAGCUCCAUGCUUGAGGCUGCCCACACACAUACGUGUGCAUAUGCAUGCAGAUCUGCUCUGCCUCCUUCCCAAGGGAUCUAGGAGGUGAGCUGCUGUAAGCAUGAGCAACCCUUUGCUGCUCUAGUUCAGUUUAAGGCUUCUUAAAUGUCUGAACAUCCCAACGAGUUCCCUGGCUCAGAGAAGCACAACAAAGCUGGGUACGGGCAGUCUGCAGCGGGAGGGAAUGGCCUCUGCUAGGAGAGGCAAUAGAUUGAGAGAAAAAAUGUUAGUGAUGCUCCGGCAAUGUUGCUAGGCUUUAAAGGGCUUGCUCAUUCAAGAGAAAGAGUGUCUUCCCCUCAGCAUCUGAUUUUGGGUAGAAAAACUAAAUGAACCAUAGAUCUGGGUAGAAGAACUAAAUGAACUAAAUGGUGCCAUAGAAAUUAACUGUGUAUUACAGAUUUAAGUGCUAAUGUCUUAGAGGCUGCUGUGUUUGAACUCGUAUGUAAUACCAUUCAUUAUGUUCCCAAGUUGUUCCUCUGCUGUUUUCCCUUGGUAAGCUGGCAGUUGUCACUGACACAACCUUUGUCCCCCUCCCCGAGAAAUACCAAUUUCAUUAUGUUACUCAACUCUAGUGAAACUGUAUCAGCUGACUUUGAAGUACACAGUAUAAAAACGUCGUGGUAUGCUUGCAUGGUAGCUAUUUGAUGUAAGAAAAUGCAAAAUCUCUUGUGCUCUCUCUUUAGGAAUUUGGGCUUUGAGUUUCACUGGGGAGUGCUGUGUGUACCCAACUGCAUGGGAUCAGGCCCACCUUUUUUAAAAACGUUUCACAUCUGAGGUUAGAAACGUUUCAGAAGACAGAUCAGCAGAAAAGCUGUCUGUUCUUGGCUCAGAUUAUAGUAGUGACUUGUACUAAAGGCUGUCCUUCCACUUAGAAAACUGCACGGCUGCUUCUGUUCUAACUUUUGUCAAAGGUCUGGCAUUUUGAUAACGGUAUUUUUUUCUAAAUGUACUGAGUAUACUUACCUUUAAAUCCUUUUAGGUACAUACAAUUAUCAUUGGUAUUCUGUAAAUUAGCUCUCUACUAGCAUUCACAUUGGACUAGGCUUAAUAUUCUGAAUGUCAAAGAUAAAAAAAUGGAAAUGAAUUUAUACCCUUUUAUGUGGUUCUGCACAGUGUAGUGAUAGGUUGGUUUGUUUGUAGAAGUACCAGCAGUGCUACAUCAGUCUUCCCUGUUUUACUUGCGGUGAUUCUCUGUGGGAGAGCCCAUAUCUGUAGGCUGGAAGCCCACUCCGCUUUCAGUUGAAAGUUAUGAACUGAAACAUACAGGCUUAAAUCUAAUUUUUCCAUCCUUUGGUGACACUGAGGUAUUACUGUGAUGAGGUCCUUGGAAAUACUUGGAUAAGCUUGACCGUAACACAGAGAUAAUGCAUCUUUUCCAUUCUUUUCUUUUGCUGUCAAUCAAAUAUCUGAGCUUUUUUUGUCAUAUAAAAUGUUAAACCAUUUGAGUAAAAACCACUCCACUGUCUGUGAGAUACUACCCCUUCUCAUCCCGUAAAUCCAUUUAGGCUUGAUUAUUUGUAGUCUUCCAGGAAAGGUCAACAGAAUGUGCAUUCCCAAAGCCAACAUCUGCCCCCAGUGAGGGAGGGAAAACCCUUCUGUAAAGGCAGUGCUCCCCAGACACCCACGGCUCUCCGCUCCGGGUGCUCUCAGGCUGCAGCAGGGCAGGGUCGUGGGGCAGGCUGGGCCACAGCGGGGUGGGAUGAUGGCCCUGUCCCACAGCUGUGUCCCAUUCGGGCAGAAGGCGCACAGCUUUGGGUGCAGGUGCUGGGCGGCUGCUGGCGGGCUCUGUGCUGGGCACAGGCAGCCUGGGGUGCCACGGUGCCAUGCACCAGCCCUGUGCCUGCAGGUCACCCAGCGUGACCCAGCUCCUUGCCUUUGUGUCCCAGGAAAGGGAAAUUGGGACUUUUUUAGGUCAAGAAAGCACAGUGAGAGUGACACCAAGUCCCUGGAGAGCAGUGUACUGGCUGCUCACACCUACUUCUUUUCAGCCAUUGCCCAUGGUUUGGUUUUGCUGGGUUCUUAGCCAUCUUGACCUCAUGUUUGCAAAUAUUAUUGGUAAUAUAAUGCUAUAUGUACAAAUGUCUGUGUGGCUCGUGUAUGUUUCUGUGGUUCAAAUCAGCCACAGAAUUCUGGAAUUUCAUUGUACUUUGGUUAAAUGUUGGACUUUUAACUCUUCUACUGUAUGGCUUCUUGAUUUCUCUUGUCCUAUGUGGACCAACUCUCUAUUUUUGGAAAUAAAUAAGCAUGUAAAUAAAAUGAAUGGGUUUAUGCCACUUACAAGAAAAUGCUUCAUUUCAAAUAUUUACUCAGCCUUGUGUAUUUUAUGGUAUCUCACGGUGCAGACAACCCAUCAUAGCCUAGGGGCUGAGGCACAAGCAGCCUUCGCGGUGAGAUACCAUAUUAUGUGAAGUCAUUGCCAGGUGGUGUCAGCAAGACAGACACUAUAGGGCUGCGGGGUGAGCGGCAGUCUUGUGGAGGAGGGGGGGCAUGGAAAGCAGUGCAUAGUUUGAGAGGAGCAAAGAAAAGAGACCUGGCUUUGUGGUGCACAUGUGGCUUCUGGUUUGAGGUGUCCCUGUCCCUAUUGCCGGCAAGUGCAGGGUGCCCGCAGCACAGUCCCGCAGCACGACCCACUGGCGCGUGGAGAGCGGGAGCACUAUGACUUUUUUUUUCUUCUCCAUAUAAACCAAUAUUUACCAGUAAUCCUGUGUUUCUGUUUCUGUUUUUUGGCAGACUUUUACCAGUAAAUAUCGGUUUAUUCCUGAAACCAGAAGCCCUAAACAUACCUUUGUUUAUAAGCCUGUGUGGUU
rnacentral:lncRNA from 1 species